rnacentral:rRNA from 1 species
AACGUGCCCAGUCGUGGGGGAUAACGUAGAGAAAUUUACGCUAAUACCGCAUACGAUCUAAGGAUGAAAGCGGGGGACUCGUAAGAGCCUCGCGCGAUUGGAGCGGCUGAUAUCAGAUUAGGUUGUUGGUGAGGUAAAAGCUCACCAAGCCGACGAUCUGUAGCUGGUUUGAGAGAACGACCAGCCACACUGGGACUGAGACACGGCCCAGACUCCUACGGGAGGCAGCAGUGGGGAAUUUUGGACAAUGGGCGAAAGCCUGAUCCAGCAAUGCCGCGUGUGG